AUGUUCCAGAAGCAUUCUCUCCUGACGUUUCGCCCACAUCUAUGGCAGGCAUCCUCAGAGGACUGCGAACCUCACCUCCUCCAAGGUGAACUCAACCACCUAAACUGGGCUCUACAGGACAAUGGAUACUCCACCACAGACAUCAGAAGAGCUGCAAGGCCAAGAACAAGCCAUGAGAGUCAAGACAAAGAUCCACCCAGAGGAAAGGUGUUCUUACCAUACAUCAAGGGAACUACUGACCGCAUAGGGAAGCUGAUGAAGAAGCACAACCUACAAACUAUCUACAGACCCACGAAGAAAAUCCAACAAAUGCUACGGUCAGCGAAGGACAAGAGGGAUCCUCUCUCUUCUGCAGGAGUCUACUGGAUACCAUGCAGCUGUAGACAAGUCUACAUAGGGACCACCAAACGCAGCGCCCAAACAAGAGUCAAAGAACAUGAAAGGCACUGCAGACUAAUUCAACCAGAGAAAUCAGCCAUAGCAGAGCAUUUGAUGAACCAGCCUGGUCACAGAAUACUAUUUGAGAACACAAAAAUGCUGGACCAUUCUAACAACUAUCAUGUCAGACUACACAGAGAAGCCAUUGAAAUCCACAAGCAUGUGGACAACUUCAACAGAAAGGAAGAAACCAUGAAAAUGAACAAAAUCUGGCUACCAGUAUUAAAAAACUCAAGAAUCAGAACAGUAAAUAAAAAGCAAUACUCUAAAAACAGAGGAUUUCCAGACAUGAAUCAACCUAGGGCAGUUAACGACUCUAAACAAAGGAUGCCCCAGAGGCAGGAAGAAGACAGCAGAUAAGCUUUUCAAUGCUAAUUAAAGUGAUUAACUACACACAUUCACACUGACCUCUCUCACCCUAGACUUUCCACAGAUAUAUAUUUACCUCUUUGCUUAGUUUUCUCCAUACCUCACAACCUCUGAGGAUGCCUGCCAUAGAUGUGGGCGAAACGUCAGGAGAGAAUGCUUCUGGAACAUGGCCACACAGCCCGAAAGACACACAACAACCCUGUGAUCCUGGCCAUGAAAGCCUUCGACAACAUAUUAUUAUUAUUAUUAUUAUUAUUAUUAUUAUUAUUAUUAUUAACCCAUCGCUCCUCAUGGCUUGAGGUGGGUUAAAACAUUGCUAAAAUACACAAUCAUCUGAAAACAUUCUGUAAAAUACACAUAUUAAAACAUAUUUUUACAAAAUACAUAUUAAAAUACACCGAACAAAGAUUAAACAUAAGACACAAGUUUAAAAUUCAUGAUUAAAACAUGUUGGGUAUGACUGACAGAAGGACUUCUAAUGUGUUUAAAAUUCUGUCAGCUGAUCCUUCAUUUCGCUGUUGGAGCUCUUUCAGCAGGCCGUUCCACAAUUGUAAGGUGGCCGAUGAAAUGUCCUAUGGGUGAUUGCAUAUUGUGCUAGAGGGAGAGAGAUAAAUAGCUCACAUUCUAGAUUUGUGUAUUGAUUGCUAUGUUUAGGUUUUAUUUUCUUCAUCCAUUCUCUAGGACCAUUUCUGCUUCUUCUCAUCUAAAGAGACAAACUGCACAUUCAGUUUCAAUAAUAGCUCCCUAUCAGAUCAGCACACUUAGAAACUACAUUUGAGGGAUUCUGCAUAUGCAUAACCUCCAACAUUUCACAGAUGUGAAAAUGUGUGAUGAUGAAGCAACAUAAGAGGCAAUCAAGAUGGCACAAG
ensembl:lncRNA